CCCAGACUCCUACGGGAGGCAGCAGUGGGGGAUAUUGCACAAUGGGGGAAACCCUGAUGCAGCGACGCCGCGUGAGUGAAGAAGUAUUUCGGUAUGUAAAGCUCUCUCAGCAGGGAAGAAAAAAGACGGUACCUGACUAAGAAGCCCCGGCUAACUACGUGCCAGCAGCCGCGGUAAUACGUAGGGGGCAAGCGUUAUCCGGAUUUACUGGGUGUAAAGGGAGCGUAGACGGCAAUACAAGUCGGAAGUGAAAUACCCGGGCUUAACCUGGGAACUGCUUUGGAAACUGUAUGGCUGGAGUGCUGGAGAGGUAAGCGGAAUUCCUAGUGUAGCGGUGAAAUGCGUAGAUAUUAGGAGGAGCACCAGUGGCGAAGGCGGCUUACUGGACAGUAACUGACGUUGAGGCUCGAAAGCGUGGGGAGCAAACAGGAUUAGAAACCCGGGUA
rnacentral:rRNA from 1 species